rnacentral:rRNA from 1 species
AUUGAACGCUGGCGGCAGGCCUAACACAUGCAAGUCGAACGAGUGGCGGACGUGUGAGUAAUGUCUUGGAAACUGCCCGAUGUAGAGGGAUAACUACUGGAAACGGUAGCUAAUACCGCAUACCAUCUGGUGUGCCCACAUGGGAUUAGCUGUUAGGUGUGGUAACGGCUCACCUAGGCGACGAUCCCUAGCUGGUCUGAGAGGAUGACCAGCCACACUGGAACUGAGACACGGUCCAGACUCCUACGGGAGGCAGCAGUGGGGAAUAUGGCACAAUGGGCGCAAGCCUGAUGCAGCCAUGCCGCGUGUAUGAAGAAGGCCUUCGGGUUGUAAAGUACUUUCAGCGGGGAGGCGUUAACCGCAGAAGAAGCACCGGCUAACUCCGUGCCAGCAGCCGCGGUAAUUC